rnacentral:rRNA from 1 species
GAUGAACGCUGGCGGCGUGCUUAACACAUGCAAGUCGAACGGAAAGGCCCUGCUUUUGUGGGGUGCUCGAUUGGCGAACGGGUGUGUAUCACGCGUGUAUACUGUCCCUGUCUUUGGGAUAACUUUAGGAAACUGGGGCUAAUAUCCGAUAGGAGCUAUUGAUGCACGGUGGGGGUUGGAAAGUUUCGGCGGUUGGGGAUGGACUCGCGGCUUAUCAGCUAGUUAGGGGAGUAGUUGCUUACCAAGCUUAUGACGGGUAGCCGGCCUUGGAGGGGGGACGGCCACAAGAGGACUAAGGGACGGCCCAGACGCCUACGUGAGGCAACAGUCGGAAGUAUUACGCAGUGAGGGGGAGCCUGAUACGACAGCGCCGCGUGCGGGAUGACGUCCUUCGAGUGAAGAACCGCUUUCGCCUGUGACGAGGCGUGAGUGACGGUAAUGGAUAAAGAAGCACCGGCUAACUACGUG